CCUACGUGAGGCUGCAGUGAGGAAUAUUGGUCAAUGGGCGCGAGCCUGAACCAGCCAAGUCGCGUGAGGGAGGACGGCCCUACGGGUUGUAAACCUCUUUUGCCGGGGAGCAACGGGCGUCACGUGUGGCGCCACUGAGAGUACCCGGAGAAAAAGCAUCGGCUAACUCCGUGCCGGCAGCCGCGGUAAUAGGGAGGUUGCGAGCGUUCUCCGGAUUUCUUGGGUUUAAAGGGUGCGUAGGCGGAUCGUUCAGUCAUUGGUCAACUUGAGGGGCUCAACCCCUUCCCGCCAUUGAAACUGGCGCUCUUGAGUGGAAGAGAAGUAUGCGGAAUGCGUGGUGUAGCGGUGAAAUGCAUAGAUAUCACGCAGAACCCCGAUUGCGAAGGCAGCAUGCCGGCUUCCGACUGACGCUGAAGCACGAAAGCGUGGGGAUCGAACAGGAUUAGAUACCCGAGUAGUC
rnacentral:rRNA from 1 species